UACGUAGGGGGCAAGCGUUGUCCGGAAUUAUUGGGCGUAAAGAGCUCGUAGGCGGUCUGUUGCGUCUGCUGUGAAAACCCGGGGCUUAACCCCUGGCUUGCAGUGGAUACGGACAGACUAGAGGUAGGUAGGGGAGAAUGGAAUUCCCGGUGUAGCGGUGAAAUGCGCAGAUAUCAGGAGGAACACCGGUGGCGAAGGCGGUUCUCUGGGCAUUACCUGACGCUGAGGAGC
rnacentral:rRNA from 1 species